UUUUUCCCACGUCCCCGUCUUUUCCUAAUCUGCGGCAUGCCAGCAUACGGUUUCGAUAGUAUUGGCGGCGGACGGCGGCAUGGUGCUCGGCGGGAUUUGGCUCGGAGUUAAGCCAUUGUUUGUCAUGCUGGUGGGGCGGCAUGGUCUCAGCAUUGGGUGGUCCGGCGGCGUGGUGUGCGGCGUCUGCAUAGGUAUUGGACCGCGCUGUGCACGGAGCGGUGGCUAGUGAUCCCACCGGAGCCGUGGCAGGUGAUCACGGCAGCGCUGCAUUGGGCUACUACAUGACAACAUUGCCACUGUUUGGAUUGAAGUUUGGUUGGGCAUGAGUGCACGGGAAGAGGAAUAUGCGACCCAUCAAUUGCACCUAUGCAACCAUCAAAGUGAGGUGCGGAUCUUGCAUCUCGAAGCCUACCAUGUACAACUCUGAACUCCGGAUCACUUGGUCGAAUGAUGUCUACAGCCAUGUCAUUCAAGCAUUUCAAUACUUCAUUGAAUUUGCGAUGUAUAACUUCGGUUGAUCUCUUGAAAUGAUUCUCCACUUGGCUUACGGAUUGAGGGCCCCCAACCGUCCAGAGAAACAUACUCAAUGCUUCUUCUGAACUCAUGUUUCUUGUUCCUUUCAAGCCAUAUUUGUGUACAAGUGUACGAUGCAACCUAUCAAAACAAGGCUUGUACAUCCUGAACAUGUUAUAGCAAUCUUUUGGACUACUCAAGUUCUCGGUAA